CUUCUCUUAAGGUUCCUCACAGUUAUGGGCAAUGUUGGGUCACCUUGGUUGACUCUGCCUAAAGCUUUUGACUUGCAAAAAGACUUGAGCAAUGGGCUGGCCUUAGGGGCCCCUAGUAUGUUUAUCAUACUAACCCCAAAGGUUUUUUCUACUAUGUCUAUGAAUUGAUGUAUGAAAAAAAAGUUAUUUGUUAACUUGAAGGCUUCUGUAAAAAGAGUCUUUAAAAACAACUCUUGGCAAUGGAUCUCUUGGUUCUCGCAUCGAUGAAGAGCGUAGCAAAGUGCGAUAAUUAUUGCGACUUGCAUUCAUAGUGAAUCAUCGAGUUCUUGAACGCAUCUUGCGCCUAGUAGUCAAUCUACUAGGCACAGUUGUUUCAGUAUCUGCAUCCACCAAUCAACUUAACCUUUUGUGUUGAGUUGGAACUGGGCUUGUAGUCGCUGGCAUUUAGUUGCUGUCAUGGCCGUAAAUCAAUGUCCUAGGUGUUAGAACAUCUAACACCGGAUGGAAACUUUAGAGCGCUUUAAGA
rnacentral:rRNA from 1 species